AUGGACUCUUUGUGUGCGCGUGUUCUCAGUGCAAAGUAUUACCCCGAUGGUAACAUUCUUAAUGUUGGCCCUAAGAAAGGCUCUUCUUAUACUUGGCAGAGUAUAGUAUCAGGAAUUCAAACAUUUAAGAGGGGGUUUAUUUGGAGAGUUGGGACAGGUUCUAAUAUCAAUAUUUGGCCGGACCCAUGGAUACCGUCAAGUGCCUCACGCAAAGUUAUAACGCCGAGGGGCAGAUUAUUGUCCAAAGUUGAAGAGCUCAUAGACCCGCACUCGAGCACAUGGGAUGAAUCCUUAUUGCAGUCCGUGUUUAAACCAGUCGAUAUGGAAAGGAUACUAAGGAUCCCUCUUAAUGUGAGUAUUGUUGACGAUUUUGUGGCAUGGCAGUUUACACGGUCAGGAACCUUCUCAGUCUGUUCAGCAUACCAUACAGAGUUCAAUCAUCAGUUUGGCUCGCGCACUUCUCCUGCUGAUGGACAAGGAGGGUCUGUAGUAAAUGGCAUUUGGAAACAUUCGUGAAAACUCCGAGUUCCUGGCAAGAUUAAGCAUUUCGCUUGGAAGGUGCUCAGGGGCGUUCUGCCAUGCUAUGGAGUCCUCGCGAAACGUCAUAUCCCGGUAUCUGGUCAAUGCCCGGUUUGCAAAGUUUGGUUUGAAGAUAUUCAGCAUUGCUUAUUCUUGUGUUGCCGUGCUAUGGAAGUGUGGAAAGAAUUAGGCCUGAAUGAGGUGAUCAACCAAGCAGAAAUGGAGGACCGCUCGGGAUCAGUUAUCAUGGAGAUUUUAUUGCGAAACCACUCAUCAAUUGGUGAUCUUCCAGCGGCUGAGUUGAUUACGGUGGCUGCGUGGUAUAUUUGGUGGCAACGUCGCCAGUUUGCAAAGGGGGAAACAAUUUCAGAUGCACACCAUUCAGCUAUUUCAAUUAAGGUCCUAGCGACGAACUAUGUACGAGCAGCAACACCCAACCAACCAGUUAGAAAGAGAGAUCAAAUGUGGAAGAAACCAACCAGGGGGAAGGUGAAUAUCAAUGUGGACGCCUCUUUUCACGAGGAUAUUCUCUCAGGGGCGACGGGUGCCAUUGCAAGGGAUGAUAGUGGCCAGUUCUUGGCUGCUGCAUCAUGGUUUCUUCCACAUACUAACAGUGCUGUUUCAGCAGAUAUUCUUGCUAUACGGAAUGGUUUAUACUUAGCUGCCCAUAUUGGUGCUCCAAGGUGA
rnacentral:rRNA from 1 species